AAAAGUGAUAAGGUAAGGGAAAAAACUGAUGUUACCUUACUAUUAGUGUUGUCCAAAUCUGGUGCCAGAAGACUCGGUAAGACCAGAAACGCAAACGUUAAUCGUCCUUAUCAGGCGUAAAGGGUUUGUAGGCUGCUUUUAAUACUUCUAUUUAAAAAAGCUCUGAUAAAAUCAGUUAAAUAGGGAAAAAAUAAAAGCUAGAAUCAAAUAGAGGAUAAGCCGAAUAAUACUUAGAGUAGGGAUGAUAUCCUUAGAUACUAAGUGGAAUACUAAAGGUGAAAGCUUUUAUCUACUAAUGAUUGACGCUGAGAAACGAAGGUGAGAAUAGGAAAUAGGAUUAGAUACCCAGAUACCUCUCACUGUCAACGAUGAAUGGUGGUUUGUUAGUUUUAAUAAAAACUGAUAACGAUGCUAACGCGAUAACCAUUCCGCCUUGCGAGUACGGUU
rnacentral:rRNA from 1 species